GCGUAAAUGUCUGUUUUUUCUUUGUCUUUUUCCUUUUUACAAACAAGCAGUUUGGCCAGUGAUGCAGAUAAACAAUCAUAGCUUUAUGACGUGUAUGAAUGAAUUACAAAGAAGAUAUGUACUUCCUCUCCUUACUGCCAAAAUGGCACACUCAGAUAUUAUUAGUAUAAAGAGGAUACCUUAGAGAGGCCUGUCAUCCCUUGUUUACAUUUCUGAGUUUGCAGAGGCAGAACAGAAAGGGAGAGGAAUGGUUGUUGCUGCUGCUUUUCCGUUCGACGGGUUCCAAACCUCUGAUGUGGAAAGGCCUGCUGUGGAGAUGGCUGUUGCUUCUCCAAUUGAAGAAUCAAUGAAGUUUUCACGUGUACGUUCGCACCUGCACAUUGCAACUUGACCGAAUAAAGUUUGGCUUCCUGAAAUAAUGUGUGAUAAAUAUAAAGUUGCAGAAGCCCUUUAUAAUGUUUAAGCUUUGUCUAUAUAAGAGGUGUUCUUUGUCUGUUAUACUUUUGAGUUGGAAUCAAUAAUAAAGCAAUUAUCUUAAUCUAAA